rnacentral:rRNA from 1 species
AGAGUUUGAUCAUGGCUCAGGAUGAACGCUAGCGGCAGGCCUAAUACAUGCAAGUCGAACGGACCGCAAGGUCAGUGGCAAACGGGUGCGUAACGCGUAAUCAACCUACCCUCUACUGGGGUCUAGCCCGGCGAAAGCUGGGGUAAUCCCGCAUACGUCCCUUCCGUGGCUUCACGGGGGGGGGAAAGGUUUACUGGUGGAGGAGGGGAUUGCGUCUGAUUAGGUAGUUGGUGGGGUAACGGCUCACCAAGCCGAUGAUCAGUAGGGGCUCUGAGAGGAGGGUCCCCCACAUGGACACUGCGACACGGGUCCAACUCCUACGGGAGGCAGCAGUAGGGAAUAUUGGGCAAUGGGCGCAAGCCUGACCCAGCCAUGCCGCGUGCAGGAUGAAGGCUCUUCGAGUCGUAAACUGCUUUUAUCAGCGAAGAACCAGCGGGGUGCGCCCUGCUUUGACGGUAGUUUGAUGAAUAAGCACCGGCUAACUCCGUGCCAGCAGCCGCGGUAAUACGGAGGGUG